rnacentral:rRNA from 1 species
AGAACGAACGCUGGCGGCAAGCCUAACACAUGCAAGUCGAACGGACAAUUAUUUAUAGCCUCUGGCUAUAGGAAAUUGUUAGUGGCAGACGGGUGAGUAAUGCGUAGGAAUCUACCUAGUAGUACGGAAUAGCCAUUAGAAAUGGUGGGUAAUACUGUAUAAUCCCCGAGGGGGAAAGAUUUAUCGCUAUUAGAUGAGCCUACGUUAGAUUAGCUAGUUGGUGAGGUAAUGGCUUACCAAGGCUAUGAUCUAUAGCUGGUCUGAGAGGACGAUCAGCCACACUGGAACUGAGAUACGGUCCAGACUCCUACGGGAGGCAGCAGUGGGGAAUAUUGGACAAUGGGCGAAAGCCUGAUCCAGCUAUGCCGCGUGAGUGAAGAAGGCCUUCGGGUUGUAAAACUCUUUCAAUAGGGAAGAUAAUGACGGUACCUAUA